UUGACCCCUGCGCUCGGACACAGGGGCAGCCAGCGCUGCGGCACCGACCCGAGACGGCCCGUCGGGCCCUGCCACGCUUGCCAGGCCAGAUCCCAAAGACCCGUGCAGAUAGGAGGGGACCCACUUCAGGCCCCCUGAAGCGCCGGCCCACUGGCAGGAGCCCCUGCACAGAAGUGCAACAGCUUCACUGGCUCAUCCCGGACUCGGGGGCUGGCGCCGCUGACGCCCCGGCACGCUGCCCGGUUUCGCAUCUCUCCCAGCGAGGCGUGUGUUCGGCCAGCCCCGCCCUUGUGGACGGGUUGGGCUUCCUGCUCAACCAGAGGCUCCCAAAAAAGCUUCACAUCUGGAAGAGGUCCCAUUUCACCCGCCUCUGAAGAGCUGCCCCACUGCACAGAUCAGGAAGGAGCGAGAAGGGACUGCACCCAUUGGAGGAAGGAGAGCUUCGGGAGGCCAGACUCUGGACGCCCAGAGGGGAGUCUAUCCAGGGCGCUGGGUGUGCACCCCUACUCUCACACGAGCUGCCACAGAGUCUUUGAAAGAGGAGUCAGACCCUUGAAGGCAAGUCCUACAGCAGUGUUCCCUCUCAUCAUACUUCAGUGGCAAAAUCAACUCUGUGGAAUAGAGAUUGGGAAAACUAAACACAUUAAUCUUCUGACGUUGUUCUCAUGAAAGUAAUA